rnacentral:rRNA from 1 species
UACGUAGGGUGCGAGCGUUAAUCGGAAUUACUGGGCGUAAAGCGUGCGCAGGCGGUUUUGUAAGCCAGAUGUGAAAUCCCCGGGCUCAACCUGGGAAUGGCAUUUGGGACUGCAAGGCUGGAGUGCGGCAGAGGAGACUGGAAUUCCUGGUGUAGCGGUGAAAUGCGCAGAUAUCAGGAAGAACACCCGUGGCGAAGGCGGUUCUCUGGGACGGUACUGACGCUGAGACGCGAAAGCGUGGGGAGCGAACAGG